GACGAACGCUGGCGGCGUGCUUAACACAUGCAAGUCGAACGGAAAGGUCCUGCUCUUGUGGGGUGCUCGAGUGGCGAACGGGUGAGUAACACGUGAGUAACCUGUCUUUACUUUGGGAUAACAACAGGAAACAGGGGCUAAUACCGGAUAGGAGCUUCUGCUGCCUGGUGGGGGAUGGAUAGAUUCGGCGGUUGGGGUUGGACUGGCGGCUUAUCGGCUUGUUGGUGGGGUAGGGGAUUACCAAGGCUUUGACGGGUAGCCGGCCUGAGAGGGUGACCGGGCACAUGGGGACUGAGAGACGGCGCAGACUCCUACCGGACGCAGCAGUGGGGAAUAUGGCACAAUGGGCGGAAGCCAGAUGCAGCGACGCCGCGUGCGGGAUGACGGCCUUCGGGUGGUAAACCACUUUCGCCGUUGACAAAGCGUGAUUGACGGUAAUGGGUAAAAAAGCAACGGCUAACUACGUG
rnacentral:rRNA from 1 species